GUAGGUGGCAAGCGUUGUCCGGAAUUAUUGGGCGUAAAGCGCGCGCAGGUGGUUCUUUAAGUCUGAUGUGAAAGCCCCCGGCUCAACCGGGGAGGGUCAUUGGAAACUGGGGAACUCGAGUGCAGGAGAGGAAAGUGGAAUUCCACGUGUAGCGGUGAAAUGCGUAGAUAUGUGGAGGAACACCAGUGGCGAAGGCGCUUUCUGGCCUGUAACUGACACUGAGGCGCGAAAGCGUGGGGGGCAAACAGGAUUAGAUACCCUGGUAGUCCACGCCGUAAACGAUGAGUGCUAAGUGCUGGGGGGGUUUCCCGCCCCUCAGUGCUGUAGCUAACGCAUUAAGCACUCCGCCUGGGGAGUACGGUCGCAAGACUG
rnacentral:rRNA from 1 species